UCCAUAUUUCACAUGUAAUUAAAACUCCAUCCCAAUAUGGAAUUUGAAAUUUUAUCAAUAUGUCAUAUUUCAAAAGUACAAUUAUUGUUCCUUUGUUGAUGUUUGGACCAAGAUUUUAAAGUCCUUUCCCUACUUUUAUAUAUCGUCAGCUUAUAUAGCUUCCACAUGCAUCCACAGAAUAUGGAAGACAAGCGACGGUGUUCCAGUAACUUUAACACGAAAUUCAGAUGAGAAUAUUGAGCUCUGCAGGUUCGGUACAAAACCGUUUUUGUUCACUGCUAUUCAGAAAGGGGAAGCAAAGAUGCCGAUGUCUGUGUUUACUGUUAUUGAAGUGAAAAAAAUGGAGAUCUCCUCUUUGCACAGGAGAGUGCACUUGGGUACUAAUAUUACUUCUUUGGAGUUUUUAUUAAGAUUGUUAUAUUGAGCGAGGAUGAAGCUCUUGCAAGAGCUUCAAUGGUGAUUCUAGAAUAUUCCAAAGAGAGAGAAAUAUCUGGGAGGAGAGCAGAUGAAAUGAAAAUGU